UUUGCAUUGGGAAUUACCUAGUAGAGGGGGGAUAACCUCCCGAAUCCGGGAUUAAUACCCCAUAAAGCUCUAAUGCCACAUGGUAUAGGAGUCAAAGCGACUAAGCGUUACAAGAUGGUCCCGCGUCCCCUGAGCUAGUUGGUGAGAUAACAGCUCACCACGACGGCGAUGGGUAGCAGACCUGAGAGGAGGAUCGUCCACCACGGGAGUGAGACGCCGCCCAGCAUCCUACUGGAGGCAGCAGCAGGGAAUAUUGCGCAACGGGGGAAACCCUGACGAAGCAACGCCGCGUGAGCGAUGAAGAAGGCCGGGUGGUAAAGCUCUUUUUUGAGGGAUGAAAAAAAUGACAGUACCUCCAGAAGAAGCCCCGGCUAACUACGUGCCAGCAGCCGCGGUAAUACGGAGGGGGCAAGCGUUGUUCGGAAUUACUGGGCGUAAAGGGCGCGUAGGCGGUCUUGUAAGUCAGAUGUGAAAGUCCAGGGCUCAACCUUGGAAUGCCAUUGAAAUCGAAA
rnacentral:rRNA from 1 species